UACGUAGGCAGCGAGCGUUGUUCGGAGUUACUGGGCGUAAAGGGUGUGUAGGCGGCCUAUUAAGUUUGGUGUGAAAUCUCCCGGCUCAACCGGGAGGGUGCGCCGAAUACUGAGGGACUAGAGUGCGGGAGAGGAAAGUGGAAUUCCUGGUGUAGCGGUGAAAUGCGUAGAUAUCAGGAGGAACACCGGUGGUGUAGACGGCUUUCUGGACCGUAACUGACGCUGAGACACGAAAGCGUGGGUAGCAAACAGG
rnacentral:rRNA from 1 species